rnacentral:rRNA from 1 species
AGAGUUUGAUCAUGGCUCAGGACGAACGCUGGCGGCGUGCCUCAAACAUGCAAGUCGAGCGAGGGUUGGCUGGUCCGCAAAGAUCGGUUCAACUCUAGCGGCGAACGGGUGAGUAACACGUGGGCAAUCUGCCCCGCAGACGGGGAUAACCUCGGGAAACCGGGGCUAAUACCCGAUACCCUCGCCGGGAGGCAUCUCCUGGUGAGGAAAUGUCGCAAGACGCUGUGGGAUGAGCCCGUGGCCUAUCAGCUAGUUGGUGGGGUAACGGCCUACCAAGGCGACGACGGGUAGCUGGCCUGAGAGGGUGGUCAGCCACACUGGGACCGAGACACGGCCCAGACUCCUACGGGAGGCAGUAGUUGGGAAUUUUGGGCAAUGGGCGCAAGCCUGACCCAGCGACGCCGCGUGGGGGAUGAAGGCCUUCGGGUCGUAAACCCCUGUCAGGAGGGAAGAAGCCCGCAAGGGUGACGGUACCUCCAGAGGAAGCCCCGGCUAACUACGUGCCAGCAGCCGCGGUAAGACGUAGGGGGCGAGCGUUGUUCGGAUUUACUGGGCGUAAAGCGCGAGUAGGUGGCCUGUUAAGUGGCGUGUGAAAGCUCACAGCUCAACUGUGAGAGGUCGCGCCAGACUGGCGGGCUUGAGGGUGGCAGAGGGUGAUGGAAUUCCCGGUGUAGCGGUGAAAUGCGUAGAUAUCGGGAGGAACGCCAGUGGCGAAGGCGGUCACCUGGGCCAUCCCUAACACUGAUUCGCGAAAGCUGGGGGAGCGAACGGGAUUAGAUACCCCGGUAGUCCCAGCUGUAAACGAUGCUCACUAGGUGUUGGGGGGUUACUCCCUCAGUGCCGCAGCUAACGCAUUAAGUGAGCCGCCUGGGGAGUACGGCCGCAAGGUUGAAACUCAAAUGAAUUGACGG